rnacentral:snoRNA from 18 species
GCCGCUGAUGACCAAAGAUAUUUUACAAACUAGAGUUUCUGAUGGUCACGUGAUUAGGAACUAUCUUGCUAUCUGAGG